UACGUAGGGUGCGAGCGUUAAUCGGAAUUACUGGGCGUAAAGCGCACGUAGACGGCUUUUUAAGUCGGGGGUGAAAUCCUGGAGCUCAACUCCAGAACUGCCUUCGAUACUGGAAAGCUCGAGUCCGGGAGAGGUGAGUGGAACUGCGAGUGUAGAGGUGAAAUUCGUAGAUAUUCGCAAGAACACCAGUGGCGAAGGCGGCUCACUGGCCCGGUACUGACGCUGAGGUGCGAAAGCGUGGGGAGCAAACAGG
rnacentral:rRNA from 1 species